rnacentral:rRNA from 1 species
ACACAUGCAAGUCGAACGGAAGUUAGAGCUUCGGUUUUAACUUUAGUGGCGAACGGGCGAGUAACGCGUGAGGAACCUGCCUUUCAGUGGGGGACAACAGUUGGAAACGACUGCUAAUACCGCAUGAUGCUUUUGGGAGACAUCUCCUGGAAGCCAAAGCUUUAUGUGCUGAAAGAUGGCCUCGCGUCUGAUUAGCUAGUUGGUGAGGUAACGGCUCACCAAGGCGACGAUCAGUAGCCGGUCUGAGAGGAUGAACGGCCACAUUGGGACUGAGAUACGGCCCAGACUCCUACGGGAGGCAGCAGUGGGGAAUAUUGGGCAAUGGGGGAAACCCUGACCCAGCAACGCCGCGUGAAGGAAGAAGGCCUUCGGGUUGUAAACUUCUUUUACCAGGGACGAAGGACGUGACGGUACCUGGAGAAAAAGCAACGGCUAACUACGUGCCAGCAGCCGCGGUAAUACGUAGGUUGCAAGCGUUGUCCGGAUUUACUGGGUGUAAAGGGCGUGUAGGCGGAGAUGCAAGUUGGGAGUGAAAUCCAUGGGCUCAACCCAUGAACUGCUCUCAAAACUGUAUCCCUUGAGUAUCGGAGAGGCAAGCGGAAUUCCUAGUGUAGCGGUGAAAUGCGUAGAUAUUAGGAGGAACACCAGUGGCGAAGGCGGCUUGCUGGACGACAACUGACGCUGAGGCGCGAAAGCGUGGGGAGCAAACAGGAUUAGAUACCCUGGUAGUCCACGCUGUAAACGAUGAAUACUAGGUGUGGGAGGACUGACCCCUUCCGUGCCGCAGUUAACACAAUAAGUAUUCCACCUGGGGAGUACGACCGCA